AUUGAACGCUGGCGGAAUGCUUUACACAUGCAAGUCGAACGGCAGCACGGACUUCGGUCUGGUGGCGAGUGGCGAACGGGUGAGUAAUACAUCGGAACGUGCCCAGUCGUGGGGGAUAACGUAGCGAAAGCUACGCUAAUACCGCAUACGAGCUAAGGAUGAAAGAGGGGGAUCGCAAGACCUUGCGCGAUUGGAGCGGCCGAUGGCAGAUUAGGUAGUUGGAAGGGUAAAGGCCUACCAAGCCGACGAUCUGUAGCGGGUUUGAGAGGACGACCAGCCACACUGGGACUGAGACACGGCCCAGACUCCUACGGGAGGCAGCAGUGGGGAAUUUUGGACAAUGGACGCAAGUCUGAUCCAGCCAUUCCGCGUGCAGGAUGAAGGCCCUCGGGUUGUAAACUGCUUUUGUACAGAACGAAAAGGCUCUGGUUAAUACCUGGAGCUCAUGACGGUACUGUAAGAAUAAGCACCGGCUAACUACGUGCCAGCAGCCGCGGUAA
rnacentral:rRNA from 1 species